rnacentral:rRNA from 1 species
UAGAUGCGAGAGUAGAGCAUAUCAAUAAGCGGAGGAAAAGAAACUAACUAGGAUUCCCUAGUAACGGCGAGUGAAGCGGGAAGAGCUCAAAUUUGAAAUCUUAAAGGGUUCUACCUUGACGAAUUGUAGUUUAAAGAAGUGUUUUCUGUUGGAGUUUUCGGUAAAAGUUCUUUGGAAUAGGACAUCAUAGAGGGUGAGAAUCCCGUAUUUGACUCGUUACUUUCCAGCUGUGUGAUACACUUUCAAAGAGUCGGAUUGUUUGGGAAUGCAGUCCAAAAUGGGUGGUAAAUUUCAUCUAAAGCUAAAUAUUGGCGAGAGACCGAUAGCGAACAAGUACCGUGAGGGAAAGAUGAAAAGAACUUUGAAAAGAGAGUUAAACAGUACGUGAAAUUGUCAAAAGGGAAGCGUUUGACACCAGUGUUGUUUUCUCGAAAAUCAAUUAAAAAAGGCCGGAUUUUGUGUUGUAUUGACCUUAAAAGCUUUCUUCACUCUUUUCUUGUCUUUUUUAAUGCACUUUUCGUUUAACAAGUCAACAUCAGUUUCUUUUGUUGUAAAAGGGUCAUUGGAAGGUGGCUUUCUUUUCGGAGAAAGUGUUUAUAGCCUUUGAUCUCUGCAACCGGAGAGACUGAGGUCUGCAGCGUAGACUCUUCGGGGUUAAAUACAUUUGUGCUAAGCUAUAGCUUUUUAUAGACAACUUGUUGACUAUAUUUAGUCUUGUGGCUUACUCGCUUAUGCUAUUUUACCUACGCUUAGGAUGUUGACACACGCGCGUGCUCG